rnacentral:rRNA from 1 species
AUUGAACGCUGGCGGCAGGCCUAACACAUGCAAGUCGAGCGGAUGAAGGGAGCUUGCUCCUGGAUUCAGCGGCGGACGGGUGAGUAAUGCCUAGGAAUCUGCCUGGUAGUGGGGGAUAACGUCCGGAAACGGGCGCUAAUACCGCAUACGUCCUGAGGGAGAAAGUGGGGGAUCUUCGGGCCUCACGCUAUCAGAUGAGCCUAGAUCGGAUUAGCUAGUUGGUGGGGUAAAGGCCUACCAAGGCGACGAUCCGUAACUGGUCUGAGAGGAUGAUCAGUCACACUGGAACUGAGACACGGUCCAGACUCCUACGGGAGGCAGCAGUGGGGAAUAUUGGACAAUGGGCGAAAGCCUGAUCCAGCCAUGCCGCGUGUGUGAAGAAGGUCUUCGGAUUGUAAAGCACUUUAAGUUGGGAGGAAGGGCAGUAAGUUAAUACCUUGCUGUUUUGACGUUACCAACAGAAUAAGCACCGGCUAACUUCGUG